UUGGGGUGGNGAGUGGCNGGACGGGUGAGGAAUACGUUCGGAAUANGCNUAUUUGNGGGGGAUAACGUAGGGAAACNUACGCUAAUACCGCAUACGACCUACGGGUGAAAGUGGGGGACCGCAAGGCCUCACGCAGAUAGAUGAGCCGANGUCGGAUUAGCUAGUUGGCGGGGUAAAGGCCCACCAAGGCGACGAUCCGUAGCUGGUCUGAGAGGAUGAUCAGCCACACUGGAANUGAGACACGGUCCAGACUCNUACGGGAGGCAGCAGUGGGGAAUAUUGGACAAUGGGNGCAAGCNUGAUCCAGCCAUGCCGCGUGUGUGAAGAAGGCCUUCGGGUUGUAAAGCACUUUUGUCCGGAAAGAAAAGNUUAGGGUUAAUAACCCUGAGUCANGACGUUACCGGCAGAAUAAU
rnacentral:rRNA from 1 species